rnacentral:rRNA from 1 species
UAGGGAAUCUUCGGCAAUGGACGAAAGUCUGACCGAGCAACGCCGCGUGAGUGAAGAAGGUUUUCGGAUCGUAAAACUCUGUUGUUAGAGAAGAACAAGGACGUUAGUAACUGAACGUCCCCUGACGGUAUCUAACCAGAAAGCCACGGCUAACUACGUGCCAGCAGCCGCGGUAAUACGUAGGUGGCAAGCGUUGUCCGGAUUUAUUGGGCGUAAAGCGAGCGCAGGCGGUUUCUUAAGUCUGAUGUGAAAGCCCCCGGCUCAACCGGGGAGGGUCAGUGGAAACUGGGAGACUUGAGUGCAGAAGAGGAGGGUGGAAUUCCAUGUGUAGCGGUGAAAUGCGUAGAUAUAUGGAGGAACACCAGUGGCGAAGGCGGCUCUCUGGUCUGUAACUGACGCUGAGGCUCGAAAGCGUGGGGAGCAAACAGG